AAGAAACAUCCUAUGAACUGCUAACUCAUUAUUCCAUAAUUAACCUUAUGGGUUUCUUA
rnacentral:tRNA from 1 species